CCUACGGUAGGCAGCAGUGGGGAAUAUUGCACAAUGGGGGAAACCCUGAUGCAGCGACGCCGCGUGAGUGAAGAAGUAUUUCGGUAUGUAAAGCUCUAUCAGCAGGGAAGAAAUAAAGUCCUUCGGACUUUGGACGGUACCUGACUAAGAAGCCCCGGCUAACUAAGUGCCAGCAGCCGCGGGAAUACGUAGGGGGCAAGCGUUAUCCGGAUUUACUGGGUGUAAAGGGAGCGUAGACGGCAGCGCAGGUCUGGAGUGAAAUCCCAUGGCUUAACCAUGGAACUGCUUUGGAAACUGUGCAGCUGGAGUGCAGGAGAGGUAAGCGGAAUUCCUAGUGUAGCGGUGAAAGGCGUAGAGAUUAGGAGGAACACCAGUGGCGAAGGCGGCUUACUGGACUGUAACUGACGUUGAGGCUCGAAAGCGUGGGGAGCAAACAGGAUUAGAUACCCUUGUAGUC
rnacentral:rRNA from 1 species